rnacentral:rRNA from 1 species
AUUGAACGCUGGCGGCAGGCCUAACACAUGCAAGUCGAACGAGUGGCGGACGGGUGAGUAAUGUCUGGGAAACUGCCUGAUGGAGGGGGAUAACUACUGGAAACGGUAGCUAAUACCGCAUACCAUCGGAUGUGCCCAGAUGGGAUUAGCUAGUGGGUGGGGUAAUGGCUCACCUAGGCGACGAUCCCUAGCUGGUCUGAGAGGAUGACCAGCCAAACUGGGACUGAGACACGGUCCAGACUCCCAAGGGAGGCAGCAGGGGGGAAUAUUGCACAAUGGGCGCAAGCCUGAUGCAGCCAUGGCGCGGGUGUGAAGAAGGCCUUCGGGUUGUAAAGCAAUUUCAGCGGGGAGGCGUUACCCGCAGAAGAAGCAACGGCUAACUCCGUGCCAGCAGCCGCGGUAAUUC